AUGUUGUCCCUGGUCUUGAUCAUUAUCUCUCUGCUCAAAGAGAAUGCUGACGCAAAUACAAUAAAUCCACUGGUCCCAGAGAAGCACAUGACAGCAGGAGACAAUGUUACCCUCUCAUGUGAAUACAGUGGAGGUGUUAGCACACUGCAGUGGUAUCGACAAUAUCCAGGAUCUCGAAUAGGGUUUCUCAUUUUUGCCACUGAGCUCAGUGGCCGGUCAGAGCCUGCACUUCGACUUUCAUCUACAGCUGAUAAAGGAAACAAAUGGAUGCAUCUGAACAUCUUUUUAACAGAAAUGGACGAUUCUGCGCUGUACUACUGUGCCCUGGUGCCCACAGUGAUGGGAAACACUGCAACACUGUACAAAAACCAGAAACUAUACUAG